rnacentral:rRNA from 1 species
GAUCAAGCUAGAUUAGGGCGCAUGGGGGAUGUCUUGGUAUCAGAAGAUUUUGAAGGGCGUUGAAGACUGCGAUAUGUCUGGGGGAGUUGUCAAACAAACAUUGAUCCCGGAAUUCCCGAACAGGUAUCGACUGAAUUCAUAGGUCGAUACGAGCAACACAGGGAACUGAAACAUCUAAGUACCUGUUGGAAAAGAAAGAAAAAUCGAUUCCGUCAGUAGCGGCGAGCGAAAGCGGAGAAGCCCAAACCAGGAGGAUUUUCCUCUUGGGGUUGUAGGGUCUUUCAUAUGGGAGUUAAAAAGUUGCCGAAUAGUAGAAGCGUUUGGAAAGACGCACCAUAGAGGGUGAUAGUCCCGUACACGAAAUUUGUGCAGCCUCCCGAAAGAUACCUGAGUAGGUCGGGUCACGUGAAACCCUGACUGAAUCUGCGGAGACCAUUCCGCAAGGCUAAAUACUCUCUGAUAACCGAUAGUGAACCAGUAGAGCGAUCGAAAGAUGAAAAGAACCCUUACAAAGGGAGUGUCUAUAGAAUCUGAAACCAUGUGCCUACAAGCGGUCGGAGCACGAUUAAUAACGUGUGACGGCGUGCCUUUUGCAUAAUGAUCCGGCGAGUUGGCGUAAACGGCCCGGUUAAGAGUUUUCGACUCGAAGCCAUAGGGAAACCAAGUCUGAAUAGGGCGAUAAUGUCGUUUGUGCCAGACGCGAACCCCAGUGAUCUACCCAUGAGCAGGUUGAAGCGCGGGUUAAACUGCGUGGAGGACCGAACCCACUUGGGUUGAAAACCGAGGGGAUGACUUGUGGGGAGGAGUG